AGGCACCGCACCCGGCGCUGCCGGCCCUCCUAACUCCCGGGUGAUGGGAACUAGGAAUUAGUUAAUGGGGGUCAGAAUCCCGGGGAAAGCAGUUAGCCCUGUGGUGCUGCCGGGCGUCUCUUGGCAAAGCCUCUUAGGGGUUGUAUCAAAUAGUAAACGAUUUUAAAAUGGAUUCAUUUGGUUAGGGGAGGAGAAUGGCGUGGAUGGAGAGAUGUGGACACCUCGUGAACAAGUGUGUUUGGGGGAGGUAACAAGGAGGAUUGGAAGGCACAAAGUAAAGAAAAUGAAAAUUAGAAACUUGUGAAAAGGAGCAUUACCCAUUGCAGUUCUUCAAACUUCAGACUUCCUUCUGUCUUGGAAUUACUUGAAAACUAUCAUGAUUUCCACUUUGCUCUUUGAUGUUUGUGUUUUCAUAUUCUCCCUUUUUAAAGCAAAUUCCCAAAAUAUAAAAGCAUCAUUUGCCAGUUUCCUCCUCGACUAUUUUAGAACAGCUAAAUUUCAUGUG
rnacentral:lncRNA from 1 species